rnacentral:lncRNA from 1 species
UUUAUCUCUACGGCCAGUUUUUUCGGCUUUAACUCUGCAGCCUGCCUAGGAGGGGUGGGGAUUCUCGACUUGCUCCUGUAAAGCGGCCCGAAGCCCCCGGGACUGCCCGCAGCACGAGGAGUUGGGGUGUUAAGGUACUUGGCAGUCAUCCCUAUGAACAAUAGGGUCUAGUAAAUCUUUACCACUAUGUGCAUACCAAGAUUCUUUGCAUCCUGUUUGAAUUUAUUCCAAAAUUAGCCAAAACACCAGUGAAGACAGAACUCAAACAGCGCUGCCCAGCAAAGAAUCCACUCACAGUACUGAAUGACACAGAGCAAAGAUUUUCAGUGAAACAAGAUGGAUACUCAACAGUACAGAAGCCAUUGGGGAUGAUGGGUGUAAGUCAAAUUAUCACCACAGAGAGGCAUACUCUUUAUGGUAUGCUUGAAACAUGAAUACUUACUGUGCUGCUCCUUCCCUGAGAAGAUUGUCAUUGUUGAGCAAUAACCGGACAUCUGGAGAAGGGAGUGUUCAAAUUUCGCUGUUGGAAGCUCGGAUGGUGAUGAAGAUAACCCAGCAGUAAUUAAGAGGGAUGCUUCUGUUUUGUAUCCUCUGUGGAUUUCACUGACAGACAGCCCUGAAGGGCUGAAACACUCUGGAAAUUAUACCAUGUGCUUUUCUAAGAAAGUGCAAAUGUAAGCAUGUACACGUACAGCUGUAUCAGACUGCACUAAAGCAUUUGCAGAUACAGUACUUGGAGCCUAUGUACCACUUCAUGCCAACAUCCAUUUCAGUGGGAGGACUGCACUAGAAUGUACACUACAACUUAACUCUCCAGAUGAACAGAUUACUUUUUACAAGGUGCUCAACAUAUGGAAAAACCCCUCUAAAAGCCAUAAGAAUUACUCUCUAUACACAUAAGGAACAACACUGUGGCUGCAGAACUGUGCUCUGUAUGGUAUAAAAGGACCGUGGUUUUAGGAAGCGGACUUACAGGUCUGUAGUUUCUGAUAAAACAUAGGAGGGGGAAAAAAGCCAAUAAAUAUUGCAGGGGGGAUUUUGAGUCUCCACAUUCCUCUGCCUUGGAAGGAUGUGUAAAAUUCAAUCAACACAGAAAGGACUUUGCAUUUCCAUUAUGUGUCCUCACAAAACCAGACACAAAGCAAAUGCUGCCACAGAAAACUGCUCACUGUUUUAAAGCACCCUUGCAUCGAUUCUGUUGUGGAGCAAUAAAAUAAAAAGCAUUUAAAUCAAGCCAUUGAAAUCAGGAGCGGAGUGCAAGAAGUAGACAAUAGAGAAUUUAAUCCUAAAUGCCAAGCAUUUGAAUCACUAUUACUUGUCAUUUUUAGGGCUGGUUUGUUUCAGAGCAGUGUCAGCACAGUGGCAGGAAGUUCUUUUGCAGAAGCACGAAAAUAAGGCUUUCUGCAAGCCGCCCCACUUCCUGCCCAUCGCUGCCAUUUCAGGUAGCUCUGCAGCAAGCUAACGACACUGACUUCCUUUUUCCAAAAUGGGGAAAGCUGCUGAUAGAGAAGCUGCCCAGCUCUUAGGUAAAGCUGGCAAAACAGCAUCAGAAAGAAGUUAGAGAACACAUUGCAGCAGGCCUGGUUCCCGAGCCCUGGCUUUCCUCAAUGCUGGGCAUGGAGCUACUUAGACUGAUUCAAACAUGCCUGUGCUGGGACAUGGAGAUGAACAAGGGUUCCUGUUUCAAGUGAAAUCCCAUCUGCCUGGACAAAUGAAAUGCUGGGGCACCUGCAGUGCAGGAUGCAUCCUUCUGACAGUGCUGUGAAGGAACCACAGACUUCAGGGAAUGCAGUGGAAAGAGGAUAAAGGGCCCAGCUGACUCCAAACCCUGACUCUCACUCCCAGACUGAGUGAUAAGUUCAGCUACAGCCUAAAACAGGGAUCUGGUUCUACUUUCCAGCUCUGCUAAUGACCUGCGAGGUUACCAAAGGCAAUUCACUUCACUUCCUUUGCUCUCAAUCUUACUAAAGCUUUGCUUUUCAUUUUCAGUUCAAACGCAACCAUUUCCCUUGUAGCAGCCCAAUGACAGCAGGUCACAGAUUUGAUGCGGCACUGGAGAGCUUUCAGUUCCACAUGAAUUCUGCUCUGAAAUAUUCACCGCUGCUGUGAUUGAAUACAUCGAUGGCCAAAUCGAUCCGUAAGGCCCUGCCAGCCUCCUUCACCACAGGGCCACUGUCAUUAAGCACAAGCAGGCAGCUGGAGAGGAAAACGAAAGCAACUCCGUGCUCACAGGAUCCCUGAGAAUCUAUGAACGUUGACAUCCCAAAGCAGAAUUUCAAGAAACAAAGCCAUAAAAAAAACCCACCCCACAUGCAAUAGCUUUAUGAUGCAAGGAAUAGUAGCUGUGGGUGCUGUUUUUAGCUGUGGUAUGUAGGAAAGAAAUGGCCAUAGGCUGCCAGCUUUGCCUUUGGAGCAACUCAGUGCUGCUUUUAAGACAGCAAUUUUCCCCACAUUCCUAUGUCAGAGGAACAAUCUAUUCUUCUCCACUUUUCAGUACGAGCCUUCCACUCCACGUCGCGUCCCCUCAGCUCCUCGGCUCCGUACCAAAGCAGUGCGGGAGGGCGGUGGAGCUGAGGCCGCGCGGGGCUGCGCGCGUGGGAACGGAAGGGGUAUCACAGCGCAGCGAACUGAAUGGGCCCGGGGAAAGGGAGGAG